rnacentral:tRNA from 1 species
GCGAGGGUUGCCAAGCCAGGUCAAAGGCGCUGGAUUCAGGGUCCAGUCUCGAAGGAGUUCGAGCGUUCAAAUCGCUCCCCUCGCA